rnacentral:rRNA from 1 species
AUGGUGGAUGACCCGGCGAUGGACGCCAUGGUCGCGUGGGGGUCAGCCAGCAACAGCUUCGCCGUCACCGACCCCUUCGCCUUCUCGGAGAUGCUGCUGCCCACGCACUUCAAGCACUCCAACUUCUCCAGCUUCGUCCCCCAGGUCAACACCUACGGCUUCCGCAAGGUCAACCCGGACCGGUGGGAGUUCGCGGACGCCUUCUUCCUCCGCGGCCAGAUGCACCUCCUACCCCGCAUUGUCCGGCGCUGGAACGGCGGCAAGCGUGGCAAGGAAGACGCCGGCGAGGGGGAUGAAGACAUCAGCAGCAAGAUGUUAGCCAUGGAGGUGGUCCGACUGAAGGAGGAGCAGAGGGCCACCAAGGACCGCUUGGCGGCGAUGUGGCGCCCGGUGCAGGACGCCGAGUGCCGGCCCAAACUCAUGCUCGCCUUCCUCCUCAAGGUCGUCGGAGACCCCGACGUGCUACGCCGCCUCGUAGGCAACUUGAGCAGCAACGACGGAUUGUUCCCCGGCGAGGGCGCGGAGACCAAGAGGCCGCGGCUGCUUCUUAACGGUGAAGCCCAGAUGCAGGACGCCUUCGUGGGGGAACCCGGGGUCGACUUCACUGGGUUCUACACGGGAGGCGACGGGUUUAGCGAGGUGCCGGUGGACAACCCCCCGUACGCUUUCCCGAUGGACACCGGCUACUGA